CCAGACAGCCAUGCUAACAUGAAUGCACCUGGUCCUGUCUGAUCUCGGAAGCUAAGCAGGUUCAGGCCUGAUUAGUGCUUGGAUGGGAGACAUCAAGAAUUUGACAUCAUGCUGGUUAUUCAGGCUCUGGGU
rnacentral:rRNA from 1 species